rnacentral:rRNA from 1 species
AUUGAACGCUGGCGGCAUGCCUUACACAUGCAAGUCGAACGGCAGCACGGGUGCUUGCACCUGGUGGCGAGUGGCGAACGGGUGAGUAAUACAUCGGAACGUACCUUAUCGUGGGGGAUAACGCAGCGAAAGCUGUGCUAAUACCGCAUACGCCCUGAGGGGGAAAGCGGGGGAUCGCAAGACCUCGCGCGAUUAGAGCGGCCGAUGCCUGAUUAGCUUGUUGGUGAGGUAAAAGCUCACCAAGGCGAUGAUCAGUAGCUGGUCUGAGAGGACGAUCAGCCACACUGGGACUGAGACACGGCCCAGACUCCUACGGGAGGCAGCAGUGGGGAAUUUUGGACAAUGGGGGCAACCCUGAUCCAGCAAUGCCGCGUGAGUGAAGAAGGCCUUCGGGUUGUAAAGCUCUUUUGUCAGGGAAGAAACAGCAGCUCUAACACAGUCUGCGAAUGACGGUACCUGAAGAAUAAGCACCGGCUAACUACGUGCCAGCCGCCGCGGUAA